rnacentral:rRNA from 1 species
UACGGAGGGUGCGAGCGUUAAUCGGAAUUACUGGGCGUAAAGCGUGCGUAGGCGGCUCGUUAAGUCAGAUGUGAAAGCCCCGGGCUUAACCUGGGAACUGCAUUUGAUACUGGCGAGCUAGAGUUUAAUAGAGGGGAGUGGAAUUUCCGGUGUAGCGGUGAAAUGCGUAGAGAUCGGAAGGAACACCAGUGGCGAAGGCGACUCCCUGGAUUAAAACUGACGCUGAGGUACGAAAGCGUGGGUAGCAAACAGG